rnacentral:rRNA from 1 species
GGACUACUAGGGUUUCUAAUCCUGUUUGAUCCCCGCACUUUCGGGUCUGAGUGUCAAUGUUGGGCCAGAUCGCCGCCUUCGCCACCGGUGUUCCUCCAGAUAUCUACGUAUUUCACCACUACACCUGGAAUUCCACGAUCCUCUCCCACAUUCAAGCUUCGCAGUAUCAAAAGCACUUCCUAGGUUGAGCCUAGGGCUUUCACUCCUGACUUACAAAGCCACCUACACCCGCUUUACGCCCAAUGAUUCCGAGCAACGCUUGGACCCCUCGUAUUACCGCGGCUGCUGGCAC